rnacentral:rRNA from 1 species
AUUGAACGCUGGCGGCAUGCCUUACACAUGCAAGUCGAACGGUAACAGGUCUUCGGAUGCUGACGAGUGGCGAACGGGUGAGUAAUACAUCGGAACGUGCCUAGUAGUGGGGGAUAACUACUCGAAAGAGUGGCUAAUACCGCAUGAGAUCUACGGAUGAAAGCAGGGGAUCGCAAGACCUUGUGCUACUAGAGCGGCCGAUGGCAGAUUAGGUAGUUGGUGGGAUAAAAGCUUACCAAGCCGACGAUCUGUAGCUGGUCUGAGAGGACGAUCAGCCACACUGGGACUGAGACACGGCCCAGACUCCUACGGGAGGCAGCAGUGGGGAAUUUUGGACAAUGGGCGCAAGCCUGAUCCAGCAAUGCCGCGUGCAGGAUGAAGGCCUUCGGGUUGUAAACUGCUUUUGUACGGAACGAAAAGCCCCGGGUUAAUACCCUGGGGUCAUGACGGUACCGCAAGAGUAAGCACCGGCUAACUACGUGCCAGCCGCCGCGGUAA